rnacentral:rRNA from 1 species
AGAGUUUGAUCAUGGCUCAGAACGAACGCUGGCGGCAGGCCUAACACAUGCAAGUCGAGCGCCCAGCAAUGGGAGCGGCAGACGGGUGAGUAACGCGUGGGAACCUUCCCGAUAGUACGGAAUAGCCCAGGGAAACUUGGAGUAAUACCGUAUACGCCCGAAAGGGGAAAGAUUUAUCGCUAUCGGAUGGGCCCGCGUAGGAUUAGCUAGUUGGUGAGGUAAUGGCUCACCAAGGCGACGAUCCUUAGCUGGUUUGAGAGAAUGACCAGCCACACUGGGACUGAGACACGGCCCAGACUCCUACGGGAGGCAGCAGUGGGGAAUCUUGGACAAUGGGCGCAAGCCUGAUCCAGCCAUGCCGCGUGAGUGACGAAGGUCUUCGGAUUGUAAAGCUCUUUUGCCAGGGACGAUAAUGACGGUACCUGAGAAUAG